UUUUGGUGAGGUGCCUUCCGAGUUCCCUGGAACGGGACGCCAUAGAGGGUGAGAGCCCCGUCUGGUUGGACACCGAUCCUCUGUAAAGCUCCUUCGACGAGUCGAGUAGUUUGGGAAUGCUGCUCUAAAUGGGAGGUAUAUGUCUUCUAAAGCUAAAUACCGGCCAGAGACCGAUAGCGCACAAGUAGAGUGAUCGAAAGAUGAAAAGAACUUUGAAAAGAGAGUUAAAAAGUACGUGAAAUUGUUGAAAGGGAAGCGCUUGUGACCAGACUUGGGCUUGGUUGAUCAUCCGGGGUUCUCCCCGGUGCACUCUUCCGGCUCAGGCCAGCAUCAGUUCGCCCUGGGGGAUAAAGGCUUCGGGAAUGUGGCUCUCUCCGGGGAGUGUUAUAGCCCGCUGCGUAAUACCCUGUGGCGGACU
rnacentral:rRNA from 1 species